GUAGGUGGCAAGCGUUGUCCGGAAUUAUUGGGCGUAAAGCGCGCGCAGGCGGUCCUUUAAGUCUGAUGUGAAAGCCCACGGCUCAACCGUGGAGGGUCAUUGGAAACUGGGGGACUUGAGUACAGAAGAGGAAAGCGGAAUUCCAAGUGUAGCGGUGAAAUGCGUAGAGAUUUGGAGGAACACCAGUGGCGAAGGCGGCCUCCUGGUCUGUAACUGACGCUGAGGCGCGAAAGCGUGGGGAGCAAACAGGAUUAGAUACCCUGGUAGUCCACGCCGUAAACGAUGAGUGCUAAGUGUUAGGGGGUUUCCCGCCCCCCUUAGUGUUGCAGCUAACGCAUUAAGCACUCCGCCUGGGGGGGUACGGCCGCAAGGCUG
rnacentral:rRNA from 1 species